rnacentral:rRNA from 1 species
UAGUCAUAUGCUUGUCUCAAAGAUUAAGCCAUGCAUGUCUAAGUACAAGCCUCACUAAGGUGAAACCGCGAAUGGCUCAUUAAAUCACACCUAAUCUACUGGAUAGUUAACAGUUACUUGGAUAACUGCGGUAAUUCUGGAGCUAAUACAUGCACAAAGCCCCGAACUUACGUGAGGGGCGCUUUUAUUAGAUCAAAACCAAACGGCUUCGGCUGUAUCCUUGGUGACUCUGAAUAACUUUGGGCUGAUCGCAUGGCCUAGCGCCGGCGACAUAUCCUUCGAAGGUGUGCCCUAUCAACUGUCGACUGUGGCAUAGACGCCCACAGUGGUUUUGACGGGUAACGGGGAAUCAGGGUUCGAUUCCGGAGAGGGAGCCUUAAAAACGGCUACCACAUCUAAGGAAGGCAGCAGGCACGCAAAUUACCCAAUGACCGAAGGUCGAGGUAGUGACAAAAAAUAACGAUACGGGACUCAUCUGAGGCCCCGUAAUCGGAAUGAGUACACUUUAAAACCGUCCCCGAGGAUCUAUUA